UACGUAGGUGGCGAGCGUUGUCCGGAAUUAUUGGGCGUAAAGAGCUCGUAGGCGGUCUGUCGCGUCGGAUGUGAAAGCCCGGGGCUUAACCCCGGGUCUGCAUUCGAUACGGGCAGACUAGAGUGUGGUAGGGGAGAUCGGAAUUCCUGGUGUAGCGGUGAAAUGCGCAGAUAUCAGGAGGAACACCGGUGGCGAAGGCGGAUCUCUGGGCCAUUACUGACGCUGAGAAGCGAAAGCAUGGGGAGCAAACGGG
rnacentral:rRNA from 1 species